AACGAACGCUGGCGGCAGGCCUAACACAUGCAAGUCGAACGCUCUCCUCGGAGGGAGUGGCAGACGGGUGAGUAACACGUGGGAACCUACCCCUUGGUACGGAAUAACUGAUGGAAACGUUAGCUAAUACCGUAUGAGCGCUGAGGCGGAAAGAUUUAUCGCCAAGGGAUGGGCCCGCGUAGGAUUAGCUAGUUGGUGGGGUAAAGGCCUACCAAGGCGACGAUCCUUAGCUGGUCUGAGAGGAUGAUCAGCCACACUGGGACUGAGACACGGCCCAGACUCCUACGGGAGGCAGCAGUGGGGAAUAUUGGACAAUGGGCGGAAGCCUGAUCCAGCCAUGCCGCGUGAGUGAUGAAGGCCUUAGGGUUGUAAAGCUCUUUCACCUGGGAAGAUAAUGACGGUACCAGGAGAAGAAGCCCCGGCUAACUUCGUGCCAGCCGCCGCGGUAAAAC
rnacentral:rRNA from 1 species